AACGAACGCUGGCGGCAUGCCUAACACAUGCAAGUCGAACGAGACCUUCGGGUCUUGUGGCGCACGGGUGCGUAACGCGUGGGAACCUGCCCUUAGGUUCGGAAUAACUCCCCGAAAGGGGUGCUAAUACCGGAUAAUGUCUUCGGACCAAAGAUUUAUCGCCUUUGGAUGGGCCCGCGUUGGAUUAGCUAGUUGGUAGGGUAAAAGCCUACCAAGGCGACGAUGCAUAGCUGGUCUGAGAGGAUGAUCAGCCACACUGGGACUGAGACACGGCCCAGACUCCUACGGGAGGCAGCAGUGGGGAAUAUUGGACAGUGGGCGAAAGCCUGAUGCAGCAAUGCCGCGUGAGUGAUGAAGGCCUUAGGGUUGUAAAGCUCUUUUACCCGGGAUGAUAAUGACAGUACCGGGAGAAUAAGCUCCGGCUAACUCCGUG
rnacentral:rRNA from 1 species